rnacentral:lncRNA from 11 species
GCAUGUAAUUGCAGAUGUGGUAAGAAAGCUUCUAAUUAUAUUGUGCUAAAGAGUUGGCAUGAUGCUGUAUGCUUCCUUGAAACAGAUAAAUGGGUAUCACAGAAAUAAAAUUAGAGCAGCCCUCCACUUUCCUGGGGUCUGAGGUGCAUGAUCCUUGUGAAAGUGGAAAAAAGGGAGAAAAAUUUUUUAACCGAAGGGGACACUCUUCUAGGAAUUGCUCCAACAUGACUCUGUCCACACAAACAAGCCUUACACAACCCUACAAAGUGCUCUAGGUCCUCCAGCAUCCAUCCGUGGUCACCUUCUGGCAACACAAAGUGCUGAAAUUGUGAAAAUACUCUAAAAAUACAGAGCAGCAGAAGUGAAGGAAGACUAGUUACAAAGAAGAACAAACCUUUCUGCAGCAACAAUCCCACCCCAGGACUUGGCAGCUGGUAGGAAGAGAGGUGCAGAUCUGCAGGAGCAAACCAUCACAUUCCGAUGUAUCCUCUCAGUCUUCAGAUGUGCAACCAGUUCAAGACCAAAAUCUCGCACUCAACUGACUAGAAACAUUUCUCAGCUAUUAUGUUUGAAUAUCUGUGAUUGUGUCACUAUGAUAACUUCUCUAUUGGUGAAGGUAAUGGGUUGUCCUCACUAUUGUCAAAUCCAUAGUUGCUGUGGCCAAUCUUCUGAUGUUGGGUCUCUAUGUUCUGAAAUACACUUGUUCUCGAAUGCAGAAUAUCCUGAUCAUACGGAAAGCCACAACAAUAUGGUAGAACUUUUAUUUAUUUUUCAAAACCAAUUUGAAAUACUUUUAUGACCUUAUAGUACAAAGAGUAUAAACAUAGCCUUCAAGAACUAAGGAUUUAUGGCCACAUCAUGGUGAGGUAACAGAAGAAGGAUUUUAGUCCAUACAUGGAGAGGAGGAAUGAAAACUCCAUUCCCUUUGAAACCAAUAAGUAGAUUUAUCUGCACACCUUGAGUUGGCAGAGUACUUCAGGAAUCAGUUUGUAUCUUGAAGGUCUGCCAGACACAAAUUAUUCUUGUUAUAGCCAUAAUCUUGGCUUAAAAAAUUAAGGGAGAAAAAUCCUGCUUACACUGAAGAAUCUUGGCAGGAGACAUUGGUGAAGUAGUUGGCUGCGUUAGGGUAAACACUCUUCCAACUAUAUCAAGAUUAACUUUGUUUCUGCCAAUGCACUACUCAAGAUGGCCUGUGUAGAACUGGAAGAAAUCCAUAGCUAAAAUGGGAGUUUGGAAAUUAUAUUUUUUAAUUCAAUAAAUCGGCUUCCAGAUUCUCUCAGCCAGCAUGUGUGAUUUUUUUGCACCUUUCUAAGUUUUCUUCUCAAUGUUCUUAUAGCCAUAUUACAAUCUGACAUACAUGUGCCAUACUUUGUCACAUUUGCCUUAGACCAA